rnacentral:misc_RNA from 2 species
UUGAAAAACUAUUUGGUUUUUUGUUCCAUCCCAUUGUUUUAUUCACCCUGUUGCUUCCACUGGUAUGAGUUUCCUAUGCCUUAUGUGUAGGAGCUUUUGGCUGUGUAGUGAUUUUUAUCAUGCAUGCCAGCCAGUGGGAAGAUCAUUUACAAAAAUUUGUUGAGAACCACUUUGUCUGAAUAUUUUGCUCCAAUGAAAUA